CAGUCGCCACGGUAAUACGUAGGGUGCGAGCGUUAAUCGGAAUUACUGGGCGUAAAGCGUGCGCAGGCGGUUGUGUAAGACAGGUGUGAAAUCCCCGGGCUUAACCUGGGAACUGCGCUUGUGACUGCACAGCUAGAGUAUGGCAGAGGGGGGUGGAAUUCCACGUGUAGCAGUGAAAUGCGUAGAGAUGUGGAGGAACACCGAUGGCGAAGGCAGCCCCCUGGGCCAAUACUGACGCUCAUGCACGAAAGCGUGGGGAGCAAACGGGAUUAGAUACCCCUGUAGUCCCUGUCUCUUAUAC
rnacentral:rRNA from 1 species